UCGGGAAUUUUGGGCAAUGGGCGAAAGCCUGACCCAGCAACGCCGCGUGAACGAUGAAGGCCUUAGGGUUGUAAAGUUCUUUUGUCAGGGAAGAUAAUGACGGUACCUGAAGAAUAAGCACCGGCUAACUUCGUGCCAGCAGCCGCGGUAAUACGAAGGGUGCUAGCGUUGUUCGGAAUCACUGGGCGUAAAGCGCGCGUAGGCGGCUUAACAAGUCAGAGGUGAAAGCCUGGAGCUCAACUCCAGAACUGCCUUUGAAACUGUUAAGCUUGAGUGUCGGAGGGGAUAGCGGAAUUUCUAAUGUAGAGGUGAAAUUCGUAGAUAUUAGAAGGAACACCGGUGGCGAAGGCGGCUAUCUGGACGACAACUGACGCUGAGGCGCGAAAGCGUGGGGAUCAAACAGGAUUAGAUACCCCCGUAGUCCCUGAGCGGGCUGGCAAGGC
rnacentral:rRNA from 1 species